rnacentral:rRNA from 1 species
GUGUCCUACGGGGCGCAGCAGUGAGGAAUAUUGGUCAAUGGGCUUACGCCUGAACCAGCCAAGUCGCGUGAGGGAAGACUGCCCUAUGGGUUGUAAACUUCUUUUAUAUGGGAAUAAAGUUCUCCACGUGUGGAAUUUUGUAUGUACCAUAUGAAUAAGGAUCGGCUAACUCCGUGCCAGCAGCCGCGGUAAUACGGAGGAUCCGAGCGUUAUCCGGAUUUAUUGGGUUUAAAGGGAGCGUAGGUGGACAGUUAAGUCAGUUGUGAAAGUUUGCGGCUCAACCGUAAAAUUGCAGUUGAUACUGG